rnacentral:rRNA from 1 species
AAGCGGCAUCAGCUCAAAUUUGAAAUCUGGCUCUUUUAGGGUCCGAGUUGUAAUUUGCAGAGGGCGCUUUGGCGUUGGCAGCGGUCCAAGUUCCUUGGAACAGGACGUCACAGAGGGUGAGAAUCCCGUACGUGGUCGCUGGCCUUCGCCGUGUAAAGAACAAUAGACGAGUCGAGUUGUUUGGGAAUGCAGCUCUAAAUGGGAGGUAAAUUUCUUCUAAAGCUAAAUACUGGCCAGAGACCGAUAGCGCACAAGUAGAGUGAUCGAAAGAUGAAAAGCACUUUGGAAAGAGAGUCAAAUAGCACGUGAAAUUGUUGAAAGGGAAGCGCUUGCAGCCAGACUUGCCUGUAGUUGCUCAUCCGGGCUUUUGCCCGGUGCACUCUUCUGCGGGCAGGCCAGCAUCAGUCUAGGCGGUUGGAUAAAGGCCUCUGUCACGUACCUCCUUUCGGGGAGGCCUUAUAGGGGGAGGCGUAAUGCAACCAGCCUGGACUGAGGUCCG